GACGAACGCUGGCGGCGUGCCUAAUACAUGCAAGUCGAACGCAGUGGGGACGGGUGAGUAACACGUGGGUAACCUCCCAUCAGAGGGGAUAACACUUGGAAACAGGUGCUAAACCGAUACUGAUGGAUGGACCCGCGGUGCAUUAGCUAGUUGGUGGGGUAACGGCUCACCAAGGCCACGAUGCAUAGCCGGGUGGGGAGGGUGGCCGGCCAAACUGGGAAUGGGAAACGGCCCAGAAUCCUACGGGGAGGAGGAGGAGGGAAACUUCGGGAAAGGACGAAAGUCUGGACGAACAAAGCCGCGGGGGUGAAGAAGGGUUUCGGGUCGUAAAACUCUGUUGUUAGAGAAGCGGUAACUAACCAGGAAGGAACGGCUAACUACGUGCCAGCAGCCGCGGUAAUAC
rnacentral:rRNA from 1 species